AUGUCCUUUUGUUAAUAAUAUAAGGUUUAACCUGCUCAAUGAAAUUUAAAUAGCCGCAGUAUUUUGACUGUGCAAAGGUAGCAUAAUAAUUAGUUUCUUAAUUAGGAACUGGAAUGAAUGGUUGGACAAGAAAAUUACUGUCUCUUUUUUAAUAUUAUUGAAUUUUAUUUUUAAGUGAAAAAGCUUAAAUUUUUAUAAAAGACGAGAAGACCCUAUAGAGUUUGAUAUUUUUUAAAAAUAAGAUGUUAGAAUAUUGAUUUUUAAAAAAGUAUUUAAUUGGGGUGAUUGAGAGAAAAGCAAAAUUCUUUUAAAAUUUAAUUGAUUAUUUUCAAUUUUUAAAUCUAUAAUUUAUAAAAUUAAAAUAAAUUACCUUAGGGAUAACAGCGUAAUUUUUCUUUAAAGUUCUUAUUAAAAGGAAAGUUUGCGACCUCGAUGUUGGAUUAAAAUUAAUUUUUGGUGCAGUAACUUAAAAAUUGGGUCUGUUCGACCUUUAAAAUUUUACAUGAUCUGAGUUUAAACCGGUGUGAGCCAGGUUGGAUUCUAUCUUUAGAAAAUUUUUAUAUUUUAGUACGAAAGGACCAGAUAUGAAUUAAAUUAAUUGU
rnacentral:rRNA from 1 species